rnacentral:lncRNA from 1 species
CCGAGUGAACGCUAAUAUGUAACUCAGGGAUAAAGAUAAGAUAAUGUGAUUAUGUUCCAAGUGAAAUCAAUUAACCAUAUGCAAUCACAUGUACACACACAUACAAACACACACACACACACACAUAUAUAUAUAUUGUCCUUGGGAUAAGGAACAUGGUUUAACAUGCAUUUAAAUCCUUAACCUGAAAUGAGUAGCUUAACCAUUCUAAAACUACCCAAGGGCUAUAUGGGUUCAUCUCCCCCACUUAAUAUGACCCUGACUAGGGCCUUGUCAUAAUAGGCAUCCUAAGCCCAACAAGGAUUGGAGAC